ACUUAUAUAGUUUAAUUAAAACAAUUCAUUUUCAAUGAAUAAAUAAAUUUCUUUUUAUAAGUU
rnacentral:tRNA from 1 species